GGGAGGCAGCAGUGGGGAAUUUUGGACAAUGGGGGCAACCCUGAUCCAGCAAUGCCGCGUGAGUGAAGAAGGCCCUCGGGUUGUAAAGCUCUUUUGUCAGGGAAGAAAAGGUUGUGGCUAAUAUCCACGGCUGAUGACGGUACCUGAAGAAUAAGCACCGGCUAACUACGUGCCAGCAGCCG
rnacentral:rRNA from 1 species